GGAUACAGGAGGAUAGGUAGGGAUACAGCUGCAGACAGACAGAUGUGUGAUGCUUACACUACGCCAUGCAGGCGCCGUUUACAUUCGCCGGGUGAAGGUAAACUUUUGCCCAUCCUCGCGUGCAUUCACGAUGUCAAUCCGACGCUCGCACACCUUCUUAAACGUUGACCACCGCCUGCAUUGAGGAGGGGUUUUGGUGAUGGAGUCGACACAGUGGGCUGAAGUCGCAACAGAUCCUGUUGAAUUGAGACGUCGACACGCAGCCAAAAAGUGCCCUUCUCAGAGUGCGUCAGAGCUCGCAUGGAUGUAGUGGAUGAGGUGCUCGCUGCUCGGCUACGUCAAAGGAUUGGUAACAUUCCAUCCAAAACUGACACGGCGAUUUGGAAGUGUAUCCUCACCUUAGAUCACGCCCCAUCGCCCGCUGGCUGAUAUGUCCAGGAGGCGUUUUGCCCUUUUUCGCAUCUCCAGACAACAUCAGAGGAUGUUAAGUCACUGGAGAACCAUAAUAUAACAGCACGGAUCCUAUUUUUUUUUUAAAUGUCUCUCAUAAAAUGGCAACCGGUAGUGACCAAAGCAGGAGGAUCAAAAGACGCAUGUGGAGGAAUUAACCACCUGAUGGAGACCACCAAAGAGACUUAGCAUGACUCACAAUGCUGACCACAUCAAGGCUGCUGUACUGCAAGUGUACUCGUAACAGGCCUGGCCCCCACGGCCCUCACCUUUGCUGGUAAAAUGAUGUCAUAAAAUACCAGGGGCCUUUCUCAAAAAUUGUAAAUUAUAAUUAUGGCGAGCACACACGCAAUAUGGAUGCGAGUGCGCGGGCUCUUGUUUUGAUCCACAGCUGAUCGCUCCAUUCCUGUCGCAACUUUUAUCCUCUGGCCUCGAACCUUUUGACUUAAAAUGGAGUUUGCAAUGGUAGGUGCGGACGGCGGGUGCAACAGCCACCUGCCCUACGGGUAUGCCCAAGCCCGCGCCCGGGAGAGGGAGCGAGAGCGGGAGCGCCAGUCCAGAGCGGCCGCGGCAGCUGCGGCGGCCGAGAGCGGAUCCGGGGCGGACGGGGGAGGCGCCGGCUCCGGGGGGUCUACUUGUUCGUCCACCGCCACGACCGCUACCGCCACCUCCUCGUCGGGCGCGCAUCUCCUUAACAACCGCCAGCAUCCGUCUCGCACCGCCUCCUCCGGCACCAACAUCAGCAGCGGCGGUACCGCCUCGCGCCCCUCCUCCUCCCCCUCCUCUCAGGAUCCGGAGAAGCAGAGACUCCUCAGAGAGCGCAAAAAGCAACGCGGCGUCGGACGGUGGAGACGCACUCUCGGCGGGGACCUGCGCCACUCCGAACUGGCGCUGCUCGGAUCCGAGGAGGACAUCAUGAUCGAAGAGGAAGAGGGCGCCGAGGAAGAGGAGGAGGACGAAGAGGAGGAAGAGGAAGCGCGUGGACUCAAGAGGUCCAGCUUUCUUUGCGACAUGGACAAUGAUGGUGAUGAUGAUGACGACGACGAGACCGUCUCCAUUACUGACAGACGUCCCCAGUCCGGAUAUGCGAAUAUUUACAGUGAGUUAGGUUGCUGCGAGAGAGUUGUCAUCAACGUGUCGGGCCUCAAGUUUGAAACUCAGCUUAAGACUCUCACUCAGUUCCCGGACACUCUCCUGGGGGACCCCGACAAGCGCAUCCGGUAUUUCGACCCUCUUAGGAACGAGUACUUCUUCGAUCGGAACCGACCGAGUUUUGACGCUAUUUUGUACUAUUACCAGUCUGGGGGGCGCUUGAAAAGACCCGCCAACGUGCCGUUUGACAUCUUCUCCGAGGAAGUCAAGUUUUACGAGCUCGGAGAGGAGGCUAUCCUGAAGUUUCGAGAGGAUGAGGGUUUCGUCAAAGAGGAAGAGAAGCCUCUGCCUGAGGACGAGUUCAAGCGGCAAAUUUGGUUGCUGUUUGAGUACCCGGAGAGCUCCAGUCCGGCCAGGGGCAUCGCCGUGGUGUCCGUGCUGGUUAUCGUCAUCUCCAUCGUCAUCUUCUGCCUGGAGACGCUGCCAGAGUUCAGGGAUGACAAAGAGUACUUGCAGCACAGGCAUAAUUCCACGCAGCCGGACCACGGAUUUACCCCCUUCAACGACCCAUUUUUCAUCGUGGAGACCGUGUGCAUUAUUUGGUUCUCUUUUGAGAUUAUAGUCCGUUUCUUUGCCAGCCCCAGCAAAACGGCCUUCUUUAAAAACAUCAUGAACUCCAUUGACAUUGUUUCCAUUUUGCCUUACUUCAUCACCCUUGGCACGGACCUGGCGCAGCACCAAGGCAACGGGCAGCAGGCGAUGAGCUUCGCCAUCCUGAGAAUAAUCCGCCUGGUCAGGGUGUUCCGCAUUUUCAAGCUGUCCAGACACUCCAAAGGCCUCCAGAUCCUCGGCCACACUCUGCGCGCCAGCAUGAGGGAGCUGGCCCUGCUCAUUUUCUUCCUGGUCAUCGGCGUCAUCCUCUUCUCCAGCGCCGUCUACUUCGCCGAGGCCGACGAGCCCACCUCGCAGUUCACCAGCAUCCCGGACGCCUUCUGGUGGGCCGUGGUGACUAUGACCACGGUGGGCUACGGGGACAUGAAGCCCAUCACCGUGGGCGGCAAGAUCGUGGGCUCCCUUUGCGCCAUAGCGGGCGUGUUAACCAUCGCGCUCCCGGUGCCGGUCAUCGUGUCCAACUUCAACUACUUUUACCACCGCGAGACCGAUAACAAUGAAGACCAGGCGCAAACGGUGGUUGAGAGCAUGCCGCCGGGAUGCCCCUACUUCCCGGACUUUUUACGUAAAUUUAAAGGCUCGCCGUCCGGCUCCUCGCUGGGCGACAAAGCGGAGUACAUGGAGAUGGAAGAAGGGGUGACGGAGUCACUGUGCGGCCUGGACAAAAGCCCCAGUAAAGGAAACGGCACGGACAUAAGCAGAAGGAACAGUACUAACUCCAAAUCUAUUCAGACUGACGUGUGACUAAAGUUUUUGCGUUAUGUUUUUCAUCUCCCGGAGAAUAUUACAUCCUAAAUACAUGUUGAUCGUCACCCAAACAAGUUUUACGCACGGGCAGUGCGCUCCCCGAUCCCUACUCGCUCUUACAGGUCGCCAUGGUUACAGGGCACGUGAUACUUCAAAACACAUAUUCCCCACACCUUUAGGACCAAUUUAGACCUAAUGGCUCAUCGAUUUAGUGAAUCUAACUUUUGCUAGCUUCCAAAUUAGACAUAUAAUGACAUUUUAGAAAAGGUAGACUCUGCACUCGCACUUUAUGAGUUUAAUCUGUCAAUAGCAGAAAGUGUAUUGAUGGUCAAUUUGCUCUAAUGCAAUCAAGCCACGUUUUAUUUGCACUCACCAGACAUUUGUGGUGGAUUGACAUAUUUCUAAGGAGAAAAAACACAGCCAGGCAGGUAUUCCUCAAACAUAAAAAAAAAACAACUAUAUUUUUUAAAUCUUUAAAAAGAAAAUCAAAUUAUUAACCCUUCCCAAGGACACAACUCCCGUCUUCUCCAAAUGAAAACCUCAUAAAAGUCCUUCAUAAAACGUAAUCAACACUUUUCUUAGAGCUCCGAUACUUGUGUAAAGUAAAGGACAGUGCAUUUAGCAGUCAUCACAUGAACCAGGGCUAGAAAUAAUCGUGUUGUACUGUACUUGUGCACCCACUAUAUGAGAGCUAAGCACAGAAGUCACUGCAUUUAAACACAGCAGGAGGAAGGACUUGUCCCUCCAUGUUUUUAAUGAACAGGCCUCAACACAUGACGUCAUUGUCCCCAAAUACAUUUACUGUAAGUCACCUUCAAAUGAUAAUAUCCCUUUACACGGACGCAAAUGGAACACUAAAGCAAAAAAGACUCCAUUGAUGAAACUCCUUGUGAGGAUGUUGUGAGCAACUUCUCAAUGUUAGCUGGACUUGGCUUUUUUUUUUUUUUUUAACUCAAGAGGACUAUAACUAUCUCAUCUGGAUGUGGAUGUCUUCCAUGCUCUGCCAGUUACAGGGCGUAAACCCAGCAUCUCUGAACGUGGCGGAGAACCGACGCAACAUUGUGAGCGCGAUGGUGUCUAGGAGUGGACGCUGAAGAAGAACAACAGCUGGAGGGGACUCUACAAGAUGUGGGGCAUGUGGGGGUGGAACUACUACUUUAGGAUAUAGGUAAAUAAACCCUGCAGGGUUGAAUAAAUUAGUAAGCUUUGGCCCAGAAUGAUUGCCUUAAUUACCAACCAUAUACAGCUGUAUGAAAACACGAUGAGACUUAAACUAAGAUGAUUUCUUUACAUGUGGACAAAAUAUUAGAAGAAAGAGGUGAGGAUAUUUCAAUAUGCUAGAGAGUAACAUUUGGUUUCAAUGUCAACGGGAGGUAUUUGGUAGGCGUUAUUAAUUGGUAAAUUGCCUCGCUGCCUGUGUGCAGCCAGCUGUAGGACUUUUGGCUUAUAGCUAUUUGUAUCUUCUUUCAUAUCGUCAUCCAAAAGAGGCUGACGUGAGUCGCUCAAGAGGUGGUGUCACCGUAGUUCCUGGUCCGAGUUGCGUCCUAGCAUUAAAAAUCUCACUGAUAAAUUGUUUUUAAGGCUAGGAGAUGAAGUGAUAUCACGUUGUUGAGCGCAUUAACACCCACUCUCACUAAAACAAAGAUGUCAGGCACAUAAACCCGAGCAUAUAUUCUGUAUCUGCCACACACCUUCUGUCCCAGAUGAUGGAUGAAACUCUUCAGUACUAUAGCCAAGACUCCCUCUCUUGAAGACAAUACAUCUUAGGUUGUUCUCAGAUGCAAACAACAAACGGACCAGCUGCUUUGUUGACUUGUUUCCACUUUUAAGUGUAUGCAAAGUAACAUGAACGUGUGUUCUCUAUUUUUUUAAACCUAGCCUUGAUGAAUACAUAACCAAAGGUGAAACCCUGAAUUUAUUCUAUGUUGUGCUCAAAUGUUGUGGUUUAGAUGCACACUGAAUAGGAGACAAUGUAUAUAGCAGACAUUUAUACUUGUGUGUCCUGUUGCAGAGUCAUUUGAGACUUUCAAACUUGAUUUGACUGUUAUACGACCAUCAAUCCCAGUAAUCAUCUGUGUUUGUUUUGCCCUCCCCGAUUGAUCAUGUUGCGUAUAUUCUUGUGAACGCUGCUCUCACACCUCAAAUUUCUUUCUUUUCUUCUUCUUUUUUUUAAAUUUAUGUUUCAAAUAUCAAACAAAAAGUCAUUAUUUGAAAACCCGAGAUUGCAUAUGUUGUUUGGCCACUGAGGAGUUGAAUUGCCUCUUACCUCUCUCAUGAUGUUGACUCACAUUCUUGAUUUGCAUUAUUAAUUGUGUCUUCACUUGAAUUUGGUUUUAUUUUAUAUACUGUCUUCAUUAUACAUUAUACUUAAGAACCCCGAAUUUAGAGCCCAAUAUCUUUUUCUUAAGAAUUAUUUCACCUCCUUUACAGAAAAUACAAAGUCCACCCAAUUGCUUUUUAUUUGAACAAUUUAUCUGUAAUUACCUCGCUGCUUGUAUCUGUGAGGGGGAAAAAAGCUAUUUACUGAAUGUUCCUGGUGUUUCCAGAGUGUCAUAAAAACUUGUAACCAUACAGAAUAGCCACAGUAGUUUUACAAUUGAUGUAAGUGGUUGUUGUUGUAAAUUACCCUACAAAUAAGAAUGUUUUGAUGAGGAUGAUUUACCAUUUAUGUCGUCAUGCCAAAUGGUGAAACAGCAGAGUUAUUGGAUUUAAAUUGACCCAGUUGUUUCUUGUGAAAAAAUAAAUAGUACAGGUAGUCUCCGGGGUACAAACGAGUUCCGUUUCUACACUGGCGAUGUAACCCGAAUUUCCGCAUAAAGGGGAAUUAACCCCAUAAGUACCCUAAAAUAUCUAUCCAAAAAGUCCAAAAGUACUGUAUUGGCCCGAAUAUAAGACGGCCCUGAUUAUACGACGACCCCCUCUUUUUCAAGACUCAAAUUUGAAAAAUGACUCUUUGAACACCAAAUUAAAUUUUAUACUGAAAAUAAUUACAGUACAUCUGAAACAAAUAAUUAUAACAAUAUAUUUGAGAAAAAAAGCAUGUUAUUUUGCCUCAUUCAAAUUUUAAUCGAGUUCAGCAUUCGCUUCAAUAUCUCGUGCCAUCUAACGUCGUGAAAGGGUAUAAUGUAUAGACCCCAAUAUAAGACGAAUACCACUUUUUCAGUCUUAUUUCAAUGCAAAAAACACUGUCUUAUAUUCGGGCCAAUACAGUAUUGUAUUUUGUUUAAUGAUGGAGGAUACACUGCCCUUUGAUGGCAGCAUUGGGUCUGGCUGGACUGCCGCCUCAUAUGACUGAGACACAGACUCAGACGUCUGAUUGGAUAAAGGAUAGUGGUGCUCUGGUUUGGCCCACAUAAGGCUGUAAGUUGUUUCAGCUAAUAUAUGUUUGUGGAGUUACAUGUGAGCGAUUUGCUUUGAGAAUUGUAAAUACGUUAGCAUUUGCAGCAUUUAAAUUAGCCGACUUUUGUUCGGCAGUUUAGGCUAAUUUAAUCUACUCUCUCUUUAAUUUACACAUUGAUCAGACGAGAUGGACGUUUGAACACAAAUUGUUUUGUGUCAAGUGUUUUAUUGUUAAAAUGCGUGUUGUUUUGAACACACUUGGGAGUUUAAGGGGGGGGCAAGGGAGCCAGGCCCCCCUGGUGGCUGAAAAUUGUCAUUGCAUGUAAUUGACUUUCCUAUAUAUGAUUUUAAAGUUUUCCGGUAAAAUACUGUCCAUAAAAGUUUGAAAGCAAUUAAACAAAAAACAAAAAUGAACGAGAUGAACAAAAAAAGAUUUUAAAAGUUUUAUAAUGGGUCAAAAUUAUUUUUCAAACAGAUCAUGUGACUAGCACCUUAGAUGGUCAUCUGCUUUGCAUAGCCAAAAUCACCCGAGGACCGAAGGGACAAGAUGGAUAUACUGUACGUAAUUUUUUCAAACCUAAGCUUUCAAAAGUGACAACAACUACUGAACAAGAACCAAGGAUUGAAAAUUUUGACCAUGAUGCACCAAAGAGCACCGCAAAAAUGGUGAGCAGUUUCAAUUUGCCCCACUAAAUACGUUAAUUGUACAACAGAGCCACCACCAGUGUCUUGCCAAUGUAGUUACCCCCGUCAAAAAUUGUAUCCCCUUGCCACGGGAGCACACACACAUACACAUUAGUUAUGAGUUAUGUCGACUUAAUUAAUUGAAGCCAGAAAAGAAACACAGUUUUAUAUAUAUAUAUAUAUAUAUAUAUAUAUAUAUUAUAUAUAUAUAUAUAUAUAUAUAUUGACCUUUAUUAAACUGGAGAAACUCCAUACAGGUCUUGAAUUACAGUAAUAACAGUUAUAGGUCAUCCUACGAGUAAAACAGUAAAACAUUGCCUAUUUUUAUGUUCAGUACGUAUGUUAAGCUAUACGACAGAAUUUUUUUUUUUUUUUUUUUUUUUUGAUGGUUGGGCCAUGCUUUGAAACCUAGUAGAUAAAUCAGUGCAAAUCAGGGGAUACAAUUUUUGACGGGGGUAACAACAUUGGCACGACACCGGCAAGCGUACCAUAUUCAAUGGAUGACGAUCUUGGCGAAAAGUAAAGCUUUCCUAAGCAGCCAGAUUCAGAAUUCCCCUCAAAAAUGAUGGGGAAAAAAAGUUCAUUUUCAACUAUUCAAUUAUAAAUAUUCUUGUAAGUAAAUUUUAUUGCUGACACUGCGUUUCGGGGUCAUCAAUAUGUGAACAACUUCACAUUUAGUGGGGAUAGAACAUGUCAUAUUAAUAAAGUAAAAAAUAAGAUACUGUGAGGUAAAAUAAGGUAGUGUUUAUGCGGCAAAAAAAAACCACACAAAAUAACGAUGAGACAAAAUGGCGGAUGAGACGCCCGCGUUGUAAAGUCGAUUAUGUUGUAACCCGGGGACUACCUGUAUAGUAAAUAAAUAAAGUAUUUCAGGAGUAAAGUGAACACAUUCUGUCGUGCUACAAGUUAGGAGAAACUAAAUCAUGUUAAAGUUUGUAAUCCUCACAACAAGAUGAUCUGAUCUGUAUUUUAUUUGUCAUUUCUUGAACAAUGUGCACUGUAAGCCCUUUAUUGUAGAAGAAGAAGAAUCAACAAAGCAGGCGUACAUUUUAUAAUAUCGUGCGGAAAAUUGGUGUGACCGUUUCUGGAAAUAUAUACUGUAUUAACGGUGAGCAUUUUGUAGAUUAUGAGGACAUUUGUAUGCGUAUGCUGUAUUCAUGAAAACUCUGAAGUUGGCAACUUCAAAUUGCAUUUGAAUGCUGCUUGAAGUCAUUUUUGACAUCUUGGCAGUCUUGAAUGCAGCAUUUGCACCCAAAUAUUUUACACACUUGUCUUUCUGGCAAAUGAGAGGAAGCUUUGAUGGUGUUGAAGUCAACACCUCCAGUCACCCCGUCUAAAUCAUCACCGAAGGAGAAGGAAAUGAAUCCGUUUAACUGGACCGUCUCUGACCCAUUUCCUCAAGCAGGCUAUUAAUUAAGAUAAUGAACGUGGUUUGAGGCUGCAGUUAUGUCAACUCGCCGUGACACAGUCUCUUAAAUCUGCUUUUGUCGGCACGUCAGAGGACUACAGCAUUAAUCAACAUUUUAGACCCGAUUGAAAGACUCACGUAACUAAUUAGAAAGGUCCUGACCUGCAGUUAAAGCACAUUAUGCAUGUGGACAUGUCCUCCAGAUUAGAAAUAUGUGAUGAUGGAAAAGCAGUCAGUCAUAGUCUGUACUAACUGCGGAUGUUGCAAAGAUGAUGCUUUACAAAACGUUGCUGAUUGGGUAGUGUUAUACUUCCUUAUACUGCUUGUAUUACAAAAACAACAUCCACAUACUCCUCAUGUGAAUACCUCAAUAUCUCAAUGAUCAUUAUCUGGCCUCUUGAUAUGAUCAUAUCUAAAAACUACGAGGGCAAGUCAUAGUUUCCAUAUUUGAUAAAUAAGGGCUUUAUUUUUUUUCAUGUGGGAAUUUAAAGUUCAUAAAUCACCCACACUUAUUACAUCAAAAAGAACAUAAUAUAGAAAAGUCUUUGCGAUGAAGCAAACAUAAUUCAUUAAGAAUAGUUCCAUUGAGCAGUUUGACCGUUUUAAAAUAUUCAACUAAACACUCUUGAGUCAGAUAUAGUAGUCCUUCUAAAAAAAAUGGCAUAUUGUGAUAAAGUUCAUUAUUUUCUGUAGUGUACUGAUAGACAUUAGACUUUCAUAUAUUUUCGAUUCAUUACACACAACUAACGUAGUUUCUAUCCUUCUAUUGUUUUAAUAUUGAUGCUUUUGGCAAAAAAGUCCAGAAAAAAACAAAAAUCCCUAUCUAAAAAAAUUUGCAUAUUUAAUCCCACCAAUACAAAAAAGUGUUUUUCAAAACAAAAAAAGUCAACCUUCAAUUAAUUAUAUCAGCUAUGCACUCAAUACUUGUUCGGGAAUCCUUUUGCAGAAAUGACUGCUUCAGUGCGGCGUGGCAUGGAGGCAAUCAGCCUGUGGCACUGCUGAGGUGUUAUGGAGGCCCAGGAUGCUUCAAUAGCGGCCUUAAGGUCAUCCACAGUGUUGGGUCUGGUGUCUCUAAUCUUCCUCUUCACAAUAUCCCACACAUUCCCUAUGGGGUUCAGGUCAGGAGAGUUGGCAGGCCAAUUGAGCACAGUAAUGCCAUGGUCAGUAAACCAUUUACCAGUGGUUUUGGCACUGUGAGCAGGUGCCAGGUUGUGCUGAAAAAUUAAAUCUUCAUCUCCAUAAAGCUUUUCAGCAGAUGGAAUCAUGAAGUUUUCCAAAAUCUCCUGCUAGCUAGCUGCAUUGACCCUGCUUUUGAUAAAACACAGUAGACAAAAACCAGCAGCUGACACGGCACCCUAGACCAUCACUGACUGUGGGUACUUGACACUGGACUUCAGGCAUUUUGGCAUUUCCUCCUCCCCAGUCUUACUCCAAACUCUGGCACCUUGAUUUCCGAAUGACAUGCAAAAUUUGUUCUCAUCUGAAAAAAGUAUUUUGGACCACUGAGCAACAGUCCAGUGCUGCUUCUCUGUAGCACAGGUCAGGCGCUUCUGCCGCUGUUUCAGGUUCAAAAGUGGCUUGACCCGGAGAAUGCGGCACCUGUAGCCCAUUUCCAGUUUUCUGCAGGUCCCCCAAGGUCUGGAAUCGGCCCUUCUCCAAAAUCUUUCUCAGGAUGCGGUCACCUCUUCUGAUUGUGCCGCGUUUCCUGCCACACUUUUUCCUUCCCAAGACUUUCCACUGAGGUGCCUUGAUACAGCACUCUGGGAACAGCCUAUUCACUCAGAAAUGUAUUUCUGUGUCUUAGCCUUUUACUUGAGGGUGUCAAUGAUGGCCUUCUUGACAGCAGUCAGGUAAUGAACCAGGCUGGGAGUUUUUAAAAGCCUCAGGAAUCUUUAGCAGGGGUUUUGAAUUAAUUCGUUGAUUUAGAUGAUUAGGUUAGUAGCUUCUUUGGAGUACCUUUUCAUGAUAUGCUCAUUUUUUGAGAUAGGGAUUUUUGGUUUUUCUUGCCUUUUUUUGCCAAAAUCAUCAAUAUUAAAACAAUAGAAGGCUUGAAGGCGGCAUUCUUAUUUGCACUCACGUACACAAAUUUAGCCUACAAUUGACUGGUUCACUGAGUUCAUAUGGUCAUAUUUAUGCUGAGAUAAGCAACUCUUGAGUAUGAAUAUUACAGAAUAUGGAUGGAAGAAAAUCAAAAGGUGGCCAACUCAAUGUUAAAUCCAAAAACAAUAUUUGUGUUGAAUGACUGUGGGCAGCGUGAUCUCUCCUUUCUCAUUUAAAUGAUCUCAUACAUGCAAAUUCCUAAUGACCGGAAUAUAUUGUUGGCCAUCUUACACAGUUACAAGAACAACUAUCAAAUCUAUUUCACAAUGUAAAUUCACUUGUCUUGAGACCAGUUCCCUGCCUCAAAAGAAAAAAUUUUUUUUUGAAAUUAUUUUUGAAGAUAGGUAUCCCUGAAGCUAGAAAACAAUUUCAUUGUGCCCUGUGCACAUUUGAAUACUUUUUACCGAUUCAAAAUCUUUUGAAUCCUCUUAUCCCUUCAAGGGGAAAUUCAGAAUUUAUGACAUUAGGCCUAAUCUUUGAGUUUGCGGGGGUUUAUGAGUCGGUGGAGUUGAUUUCAACAAAUUCCGUGAAGUUUGUCAGUUAUUUUUUAGUUUCAGGGCUCCGGAGUGGCUAAGCUAGCGCAAGUCAAUGCUGCCUGCUUAGCAUGCCAAUAAAAAAAAAACGAUAUUAAUAGAUCUAACAUAGUCAAAUAUAUUGAUACAGUACCUCGACGAACGAUCGCUUCGACACACAAUCUUUUCGACAUCCAACAUAAUAUUUGACUCAUCAUUUGUUACUACAUUGGACGACAUGCUCGAAAUACGAUUUAUGACAGCUUCUUUGUUUGCCUGUAAGACGGACGCACAGCGGAUUUUCUUGUGAGAGCAAUCAACAUGGGUUCCAAGAAUGUUAGUGCAGGUAGUGAAAAAAGGUGAAGCUUGCCAUUAAAAAUGAAGAUGGAAAUGAUAGAAAAAUAUGAGCGUGGUGUGCGUGUCCGUGAACUAGAAUGUCUACGAUCUCAACAGUCCUCCUCCGACCUUGUUCGCCAGUCUUUAUAAGUCCGGGGUGACAAUUAUGAUUCUAAAAUCGCCCAAAAAAUCGCCAGCUUUAUCAGAUUUUUAAUAAUUUAUUUCAGAACUUGUGCAACGCAACAUGCCUACUGUCCACUGCAGCUGAACAUGAAAAGUGAAAGUAAAAAUUUCUCUCUCACUCUGGCACGUCAGCCACGCGGUGCGUUCAUGUACACAACGCAAAACACAUCCACCACAUUAGAACCCGAUUUGUUACAUUAUUACAGGUAUUAUUAUUAUUAUUGCUAUUAUUAUAUUAUUACUCUGAUUUGUAUUCAUAAUUUAUUUAUUCUGCUUUGUGCAAUUGCUAUUUGCAAUAGUACCAGCAGCAUUUAUUAAGGAUUUAGUGUAGGUUUUCGGGCGUUAAACAAAUUAAUGGAAUUAUAAUGUAUUCUUAUGGAAAAAUCCUGCUCGCCAUACAACCAUUUCCACUUACAAACAAGAUCCUGGAAUGAAUUAAUAGAGGUAUCACUGUAAAUCCAAAAUGCAAAUCAUUGUUCACAGUACCCAUGCGGUCAAAACAAUGACACACCAAACUGCCGUAAUUCCUUUCAUUCUGCAGGACUAUUUUUUAAAAUAUGUAAUACGGUCACAAUAAAGAUUAGUGAUUUGGCCACUCUUGCUAAGUCUGCUGGGGAGUCGCUUCUUUCCGACACGAAAAAAAUCAGCGGUGAAAAAACCGAUGUGAUAUCACUCCACCCUGCUUCCCUAGACAGCCUGUUCCCCGCAGAGCUGCUGGAAUACAAAUAUUGCAGUUCAUACUACAAUUAAUGAACUGCAAUCAUAAGUUUUGAUAGCUUUAUCCUAAAAAGAUAGCCAGCACUAUUGACUGCAUUGGUCAUCGGUGAUUCUCAUGCGUGCGUACGUUGUUUUUUAUUGGUAUGCUAAUUAGGCACCAUUAACACGUGUUAGCUUAGCCACUCCGGAGCCCUGAAACUAACAAAUAACUAAAAAACAGAACGGAAUUUAUUGAAAUUGAAACUCCACUGACUAAUUAAACCCCCGCUAACUCGAAGAUUAAACCUUAUAUCAAAAAUUCCAAACUUCACCUUUAAGAUCAUAUUUUGUAAUCGAUUUUGAGGCCAUUGGCUGACAAAUUGCUUUAAAAACAAUAUGAACUCGUUCUUCCUUUGCCGUUUUCGAUUCUCCCAGCGAGUUUGACAACUGUGCGCUAAAAGCAGAACAGACACACAGAUUUUUGCGAAUUAUAGUCUAGGAAAAGCUUAUUUGUUAUUGAAAUCAUGGCCAAUUCUGGCGAGCCUCACAACGCACUACUCUAUCUCACAUGGGCCCGCCACAGUAGCCGCUGGCUCCCACAUAAACACAAACGCUGCAUGGUGCAGCCAUCAGACAACACUCGCAACAAGGUGAGAGGAGAAAAGUGAAAUUCUAAUGAGGCUAGCCAGCAGCUACAAAACACACGGAGGCUAUGUUCACAUAAAACUGAGGUGUUAUAGCCAUUGGUCACAAGCGGACAAUGAGGCCAUGCUCAUCACACACAGUUUACAGUUAUUUUCAGACAUGACUUCUACAGUGACUGAAGAGUUGACCCGGUGGCGAUACCUGUGAAAUGCAAUCAUAUGCUGCUCUUGCCACAGCUUCUACAGCAUGUCCCUGCUUUGUAGGAAUGCAGGUGAUUUUAAAGAUUCGAGAAUCCAUCAGUUUACUCACACAACCAAGCACACCUCUGUGGCUGUAGAAUAGAUCCACCAGAUUCUAUGAGCGGUUUCCCCAAACUAUUUUAACAACGUAUAGGACAUUUUACUUAUUCCAUGUACAGUGGUACCGCUACAUAUAAAUUUGAUUCGUUCCAGGAUUUGUUUUGUAAGUCGAAAUGGUCGUAUGUCGUGCAGGAUUUUCUCUUAAUUCAAUUCAAUUCAGUUCAAUUUUUUUUUGUAUAGCCCUGGAUCACAACAACGUUGUCUCAAAGGGCUUUGCAGAGGCAAUAUGAUACACAAUCAGAAACGGCAAAUGAAGCAUCAAAGAUGAAUAAAUAAAUUCAAGUCCUGAGUAUCCCCCAUCCUUAGACCCUCCAUGUCGGCAAGGAAAAACUCCAAAAACUCCAGAGUCUUUGGGAGGAAAUGAGAAACCUUGGGGAGUACCACAGUCAGGAGAGAUCCACUCCCAGGACAGAUAAACAGGAAGCCCCAGGACUGCUAAUGGAAAUUAGCAGGCGAAAUUACAGUCCGUAAAGAUGCAGUGGAGUAAAGGAACAAGAAGAGGUUCAUCCAGCCAGAUGAGACGGGGGUAGCAACGAGGACGUCCAUCCAGCCAGGGGUCCGGACAGUCAGAAGGCUGCAGUUGAAAAAUAGCUCUGGGGAGGGGGGGAAGGGAACACCGGGUGACUAGUGAUGAAGAGACUAGACAACUAGAUAUUAUCAUUGGAAAAUAGAAAUAAAGUAAGAUAAGUGGUAGGUAGAGUGAGAAAAAGGAGAUAGAACUCAGUGGCUGUACUUCCCCCAGCUUUAUAGCUUCUAGUGCAGCUUAGACUAAACUUUGAGUCUACUCCGACUUCAAAUAGCCUGACCAUAAGCUUUGUUGAAUAGGAACGUUUUUAAUCUAAUCUUAAAUGUGCAGACUGUCUCGGCUUCUUUAAUAUUAGCUGGAAGCUGAUUCCAUAAAACGGGCUUAGUGGCUAAAGGCUCUAGCUCCGACAGUACUUUUAGAAACCCUGGGAACUACUACUACGCUUAAGAAUACAUUAUAAUUCGAUUACCGUAUUGGCCCGAAUAUAAGACGGGCCUGAUUAUAAGAUGACGCCCUCUUUUUCAAGACUCAAGUUUGAAAAAGACUUUUUGGACACCAAAUUAAUCUUUAUACAGAAAAUAAUUACAGUACAUCUGAAACAAAUGAUUAUAACAAUAUAUUUGAGAGAUAAAGCAUGUUAUUUUGCCACAUUCAAAUCUUAAUAUCUGAACAUUUAAAUAUGUAAACUAAAGUGCUAUCACAUUCGUAAAUGAAUGGCCUCUGGUUUUUGAAAUGUAAAUGAAGCAAUCUAUUGUGAUAAAACAACAAAAUUGCAAUAACUGCAUUAACCAUCAAAGUGAAGUCUAACUGUAACUGUAGUCUUGAAACAAAUCUGAAUAAGGAAAAACAUUGCAAUAAAAUAAUGCAAACUGGUUCAACUUGAGAGUAGCUGAGAUCUGUCAUGACAGAACAUCGCUUCAAUUAUAUCUGGCCCCAUCUAGCGUCAUGAAUCGGUAUAACGUCUAGACCGCGACUAUAAGACGACCCCCACUUUUUCAGUCUCAUUUCAAUGCAAAAACAACGUCUUAUAUUCGG